UUACGUGACGAAGCGCGCGGCAAAGUGGACAAUAAAGCCUGAGCGUUAAGUCAGUCGUCAGACGCCGGUUAAUCCGGCGUUUUUUU
rfam:Escherichia coli str. K-12 substr. MG1655, complete genome.